UACGAAGGGGGCUAGCGUUGCUCGGAAUUACUGGGCGUAAAGCGCACGUAGGCGGCUUCUUAAGUCGGUGGUGAAAUCCUGGAGCUCAACUCCAGAACUGCCUUCGAUACUGAGAAGCUCGAGUCCGGGAGAGGUGAGUGGAACUGCGAGUGUAGAGGUGAAAUUCGUAGAUAUUCGCAAGAACACCAGUGGCGAAGGCGGCUCACUGGCCCGAUACUGACGCUGAUGCACGAAAGCGUGGGGAGCAAACAGG
rnacentral:rRNA from 1 species